CCUCUUUACGCCACUGUGUCAAUGGAGAGUCUAUUUCUCUCUUUACUCCACUGUGUCAAUGGAGAGUCUGUUUCUCUCUUUACUCCACUGUGUCAAUAAGAGUCUACUGGAUUUACUUCCAUCUUUAGUCCACUUUGUGGUGACUGUGCUUUGAUGAAAACUUUUUUUUUUCACUAGAAAAAUUCACUGACUUUUUAAGAGCCCUAUUUGGUCUCAUAGAAACAGCUUUAAAUGUAUUCAAACAAAACUAUUCAUUUGGGAGGUAUUCAAAAAUCUGUCCUACCUAUGAUUUCGAGCUGCACCUACUGAUUAAAGUACUGUACAAUAGCAAUUUCCUAUAGAUACAAUCCACAUGACAUUACAUCAUUCUUUGAUUGGGUCUGUGUGUUCAAACCAGACAAAGUGCAAUUACAGCGAACCAAAGAGUUCAAAGCCUGGUGUUCUCUAAUUUUAGAGUUUUGUCUUCUGGAUGCAAGACAUGUCUUCCUUUAGCCAGAUGUCAGGUAACACUAGCCCUAUUGGAAUAGAAUCUUAUCAACAAAUAAAAAUAAUUCAUUUCACCUUUAUAGUAAUAAUGUGUUGUGUGAAAAAGUCUUUCAGUUAUUAUUUUGUUAUAAAGUAAUCUGAUGCUAACAUUUUACAGAGAUAUUGUAAUUAAUUGUGAAUUUGUUUCUAAUAUAAUGUUUCAUUACUUUUUAUGUUCCCUUUUAUAAUCUUUGCAUUGACUUACAUGUAAC